rnacentral:rRNA from 1 species
GGUGGACGCUGGCGGCGUGCUUAAGACAUGCAAGUCGAACGCAGUCUUCGGACUGAGUGGCGCACGGGUGAGUAACACGUAACUGACCUACCCCCAAGUCGCGAAUAACCAGCCGAAAGGAUGGCUAAUACGUGAUGUGAUGAUCCGCUGUGGCGGAUCAUUAAAGACUUGAUCGCUUGGGGAUGGGGUUGCGUUCCAUCAGCUAGUUGGUAAGGUAAAGGCAUACCAAGGCAACGACGGAUAGCCGGCCUGAGAGGGUGGCCGGCCACAGGGGCACUGAGACACGGGUCCCACUCCUACGUGGGGCAGCAGUUAGGAAUCUUCCACAAUGGGCGCAAGCCUGAUGGAGCGACUCCGCGUGAGGGAUGAAGGUUCUCGGAUCGUAAACCUCUGAACCAACGACGAAAGACCCGACAAGGGAGAUGACGGUAGUUGGGUAAUAGCACCGGCUAACUCCGUGCCAGCAGCCGCCGUAAUAC